UUUACCCUACGGGGGGCAGCAGUGGGGAAUAUUGGACAAUGGGGGAAACCCUGAUGCAGCGACGCCGCGUGAGUGAGGAAGUAUUUCGGUAUGUAAAGCUCUAUCAGCAGGGAAGAAAAUGACGGUACCUGACUAAGAAGCCCCGGCUAACUACGUGCCAGCAGCCGCGGUAAUACGUAGGGGGCAAGCGUUAUCCGGAUUUACUGGGUGUAAAGGGAGCGUAGACGGAGGAACAAGUCUGAUGUGAAACUCCGGGGCCCAACCCCGGAACUGAAUUGGAAACUG
rnacentral:rRNA from 1 species